CUGGAGAGAGAGACUUAAUGACAUUCACCAAGGACGCCAGAGAAGUGCAGUGAAGAAAGUGCAAGUGGUGGAAGAAAUGCCCUGGUGACCGGUGCCAAGGCUUUGGGGGGAAGCUGGGUCACCAUGCAGGAGGAAGCUGAGAGCAAGAGGAAGAGGAAGGCCCUUCCGAAUGGGGCAGAGCCUCGGACUCUGAAAGCCUUUCAACAAAGCACUGGCUGUCCUCUCAGCCCGUCACCUGUGGGCAUGAAGAUGUCAGCUCCCUGGCCAACCACUCAGGUGCCAUUCACACAAAUGUGUGCGUGGGGGAUGGAAGGCAGCGCACAGAAGCCUGCUCUGGCUUGCCCGGCUCAGCACAUUGAAAUCUAGAAAGGAAGAGGGGAUGAGCAAAGAGGAGGAGCACGGUGCCUACCAGGAGCCGCACACCUUGCUACACGCUCUCUAUGUGGGCGAUUGUUUGCGCUCACAGUGAAUCUGGGAAAUAGAUUCCGCAUGCCCCCUUUCCAGAUGAGGAAACUGAGGCUUGGAGAGAUUCCAGAAUUUGCAGCUCCAAGGUCAUGCAGCUCCAAGUAGCAGAUGAGGUUUCUUGACCUGAGGCCAGUGCUCCCUCUGUGACUUUACAGCUCCUGGGAGAAUGAGCUGGGCAGCCCUGGCCGGGGCUAUGGUAGCUCCAGCUGGCCCCUCGUCUAGUCUUG
rnacentral:lncRNA from 1 species